rnacentral:rRNA from 1 species
UACAGAGGUCUCAAGCGUUGUUCGGAAUCACUGGGCGUAAAGGGUGCGUAGGUGGCCAGGUAAGUUUGAUGUGAAAGCUCGGAGCUUAACUCCGAAAUGGCAUUGAAUACUAUCUGGCUUGAGGGUCGGAGGGGAGACUGGAAUUCUCGGUGUAGCAGUGAAAUGCGUAGAUAUCGAGAGGAACACCAGUGGCGAAGGCGAGUCUCUGGACGACACCUGACACUGAGGCACGAAAGCUAGGGGAGCAAACAGG